GGUCAAGCUACAAAGGGCAGAUGGUGGAUACCUAGGCACCACAGAGA
rnacentral:rRNA from 2 species